CCUUCCGUUGGCUCGUAGUGGCAGAACGAAGAUGGCGUCGGACUGAAGGUGUACGGAGAAGGGGACGAGGGGACCUUCCCCUAUCCUCUCUAGCUGCAUGGGAAGGAGAGGGGCCCCCGGAGGUAUUUACAAUGUUCGUUAUUAAAAGUGUCCUCACUCGGCGAAGUUCCUCUGCAUUAAAUAAAUCGGACAUCCGUCCAGUUUGGCAGACCCGAACGUGUCACCGCAGAGCAGCAGCCCCCCUGGCUUUUGUUUACCAUUGUGUGCAACUGCAGCUCAAACCACACAGCAAAUGAUCCCUGCAUCAUUUCGGACCAACGCUCACAAAGGGUGUUUUUCCCAUGAAUGCAGACGUAAAUCAGCAAAAGCCCAAACUGGCAGGAUGUCUUUCCUUGGGUCACCACAGAAAUAUCACUUCCAACACCGUCCAGACCUGGAAGUAAAGAAUAAACCCUCAUUUUGAAGAUGCCCUCUUUUGGGCUUUUGGGACAGAGAUGCCCCCUUUCCUGCUGUUGCCAGGGCGUCGGGUCUCUUCUCUCCUCCACAUAUCCUCCUGUCCUGCCCUAUUUCUGGAGCUGCAACAUCAGUGAGGAUAUCUACUAAGAUUUUGUGUGACUACCCUGAGGCCCAAGUUGACUAUGUCUAUAUUUAGCCUGACAUUGGCUUUCCAGCUUCUAAGUUAAUUGAAAACCUUUGCUCUUUCCCCAUUGGCCAUGUUGCCUGAAAGUCUUCAUCAACUGGAAAAUUUUCAGUCACAUUUUUAUGAUUUCUUUUUUUAUCAGGCUUUAUGUAAGCAUAGUCAGAAAUCCUUCCUGUAUAAGUAAGAAACAAUAGAAAAUAACUAUAUAAAAAAAUACUAUGUGUAAUUAGAUCAAAGCAGUAAAUGAACAAAUUACUCACUGCUCCCAUUUUCUGGGAAAAAAGCAAAGACACAAGAUACUGUAGCAAAGAUCAAGGCCUGUGAUAAAAUUAGCCUCAUAGAGUGUACUUUUGUUUUUUGCACUACCUCAUUGCCAUAACAAAAGGGAUUGAAAGGGAGUGUGAUCAGUACAAGUAGCAUAAAGAUUACUUAGAGCCACAACAGUUUUAAGUCAUAGGAUACACUGAUAUUUCCAGGUUGAAGGUUAAAUUGGGAGGUUAUCUAGAGAUGGGAGAAGGAGAAAAGCAGCCCACAAGACACACCAUCAUUUACCUGAUUUUAACCAUUUAAUGAAAGUGUUGACUGACACAAACUGGUCUCCUAUGCAUCUGUUCUUAAGGAAGAUCAAGAGAUUGAUUGAUUUAAUUUUUUUUUUUAAAUUUUCUCCCUAAUUGUCCUCUCUAUUGUCAGGUCUGCAGGUCUGUUCAAAGGUUGCAGGUUAAGGAAGAACUUUUACCUUUUAACUUUUGGUAGUUUAGUAAAUUGUUUUGUAAUUUCCCCUUCAAGAUGCUCUUUUUUUCUUAUCUACCCAUAAUCCAAUUACUUUUUUGUUCCUCCGCUUACAAAUGUGUUAGAAUAGGAUCUUAUUUCGUAGCCUACAUUUGAACAGCGAUAAAGAGGUUUGAGAAUUUCAUUCUGCAACAUUAGAUUUUGCCGUACAGUACAUAUCGUUUGUCUCUACUUGUUUCAACGAUACUGUAUGUGCAAUUAGUUUAAUUCACCCUCGCUUAAAGGAAACCCUGGUCUCAUUUGUUAAUUUUUUCAUUUUACUCAAUUUCAUUUGACUCCUAGAAAACAAAUCAUUCUAAACGGGAUUUGUGCAAUAUUUGAUCGUAACUGUCAUGUUGUUGACCAAACUGUAUAUUGUAUAAACAAGUGACAAGUUGUUUGAAAGCAACAAAAUCACCAAUGUCUUCCAUUAAGAUAUGUAUAGACUCAUGUGCAUUAGCUUAGCAGGACUGUGGUGCCAACAUUAUUGUAGCCAUGCAUGACCAGUAGUAAUGCUUGCUUCAUGAAGAAUAGUGAAAUCAAUUUCUAGACUAAGCUGGAACUCAAAUAUGUGGGAACCAUUUCAGUGAUGGGUAUAGAAUUGGUGUAGGACGCUUUGAAAUUAACUACAUCUAGAAUCAGCUUUGCCCGAAAAAUCAUAGAAUUAACGCAGCAUCUCCUUUGUAUUUCAUGCCUGGUGUGUAAACUAAAUUGUACAAUUACAGUAAAACACUAUCAGGAUAUGCAAUUAUAAGACGUUUUGCAUGUGUGCUCAAUAUAAGUAAGUGCACUCUUCACAGAACUGCAGUAUGUUUUAGGUUAAAUAUCUGGAAAAUCCAGUUGUGAGAUGUCCUAAAUUGUAUUCAUGUACUCUCAAGCAUCCAAAAGUUAGGUAGAUUUGAUGUGACAAACUCCCCAAAGUCAAGUCUGAGAUGUGACGAUGAUAAAAGCUUUAGAGGAAUAAAAAUAUAUUAAGAGUAGUACUUAAAUCCUCUGUCUCAGUGUUUCCUCUGUAUGCAUUAAGCAGCAAUAAGGAAAUUACAGUCACUGCAAAUAUAUGUAUUUAGCUUUAACCUUAUAUAGACCUAAACUAAAUAUAGACCAGAUGCUUUAGAAGUAGUGAUUAUAUAUUAUAUUAGUAAGAUUUUUAACAGUAUUGCUUAAACAUAAACUAAGACCCAAACUUAAGCAACAAUGAGAUGAAACUCACUACAGCUGUAUUAAAAUUACAGAGGAAACACUGGAUGCGGUCUAAGUGGUAGGGAUCCGACGUGGUAUUUUAGUCCUAGAAUUAAGAUCUCACCAUGACAUUGUAUUGUACAUAAUACCUCAUAGUUUUAGUUAUUCAGAGCAUUCUAUUUUAAUCCAUAAAAUUGUAUUUGAUUAGAGUUUUAGAAGCAAUAACUGACAAUAAUGCAUGAGUUUAGUGCCAGGGUGUUAGUGAUUAAAGGAUUCUGUAAUGUCACGUGGAAAGAUACCCCCAAUCCCUCUCUGUCUCAUGCCUACAGUAGCUAUCUAUUAGUCACUUUUGUUGGGAGACGUAUAACUUUUUUUGGCUUUAGAAUACAGUAUCACUUAUGUAGGUUUGGGAUACUUCCUGCAGAACAUGGUACACAUGAGGACAGCUGUAGCAUCGCAGUAACACAUCAACCAGUUAAAAUAAAUGCUUAUAUUUUUCCAGAGACUAUUUGUAUUCUUUCAGCACCAAACUAUUAAUGUAAUUGGUACGUAAGAGACGCUUUAUUGUACAUAAAAUAAAGACAUUUAAAUUCUUGUUGUAGCACUCUUACAUCUACAAAACACACUCCUUCCUUUAAAAAUAUAGACUUUCAGUAACUGUGUGGCUGCAAAGGACCUACUGAUCAAACUUGACACUUGUUUGAAAAGCACUUUCUCUCUGUACUGACUUGCAUCGUCAUUAUCAUCACCAUCCUGUCUUGAAUACUGUGUUCUAAAAACCCUGUAAUGCUCUCUGUGGGGAUUUAUCACAUUUAUAAGUAAGUAGGCGUUAAACAACAUGAUAUAUGGGUUUAAAAAAUAUGCAUGAUUUAGCAGAAUAAUGAAUGAUUUGUAUUGCAUGCAAUAAUCCAACUUUGUAAUGUGAAUGACUGUAAGUAGGAUAUUGAAAUGUUCAUAUCAGGUGUUUGUGAUAAGUGACAACUUGGGGACGAUUGACACAACAGUGAGUCUGUUCUAGUAGCAUGGAUCAUCAGUUGCGGAUUUACCGAUUGAUACAAACAACAUUAAAAAAAGAUGUAACAGAGAGUGUUUGAAAUGUUUGUGUUUACGCUCUCUGUUGUGUGUCAAACCGGACCAUGGCAGUACAGCCACAGUGCAGCUGAAAAACACAGAUUAACCUUUGUUCCCCUUGAAAAAGAAAAAUUACAAACACUUCAGUAAGAUGAUUAUUAUGACAUUACUUUGUUCAACUUUUCCACUGAGGAAGUGGACUGUGUAGAAACUAUGCACUCCAGAGGGAGGAAGUGGGCAUGCUUAUUAUGUGUGAGCCUCUUGUCUGGAUUUGUAUUUACUAAAAAAAAAAAAAAAAAAAAGAAUCUGUAUCAGAAGUUCAGCAAUAAAAUGCAGCAUGGUGCCAAUUGGA